rnacentral:rRNA from 1 species
GCAUUGCGGCAUGACUUACACAUGCAGUCGAACGGCAGCACGGGUGCUUGCACCUGGUGGCGAGUGGCGAACGGGUGAGUAAUACAUCGGAACAUGUCCUGUAGUGGGGGAUAGCCCGGCGAAAGCCGGAUUAAUACCGCAUACGAUCUACGGAUGAAAGCGGGGGACCUUCGGGCCUCGCGCUAUAGGGUUGGCCGAUGGCUGAUUAGCUAGUUGGUGGGGUAAAGGCCCACCAAGGCGACGAUCAGUAGCUGGUCUGAGAGGACGACCAGCCACACUGGGACUGAGACACGGCCCAGACUCCUACGGGAGGCAGCAGUGGGGAAUUUUGGACAAUGGGCGAAAGCCUGAUCCAGCAAUGCCGCGUGUGUGAAGAAGGCCUUCGGGUUGUAAAGCACUUUUGUCCGGAAAGAAAUCCUGAGGGCUAAUAUCCUUCGGGGAUGACGGUACCGGAAGAAUAAGCACCGGCUAACUACGUGCCAGCAGCGGCGGGUAAUAA